UCAGACAAUCAAUACCCAGGUGCGGGCAGAUUCAAAAUUGAAAAGAAAAUUUUGAAAUAAGUAAAAAUAAAGACCAACUUUCGUCACACUGAUGUGCAGGGACCGGAGUCGUGCUUGGGUGCUGCUGACAUUGGUCAAACAAGCGAUGCGGGUGAACCUCUUCUACAUUCACAACAAACAAAGGCGGCUCAGGUCUUGGGCGGCGACUACACGUCCAACAGCACACCAAGCCUUCAGGUAAAAGGGCUGGGAAAAGAAAACUAAAAAGCAAAAUGCGAAACAGGAAAAAAGUGACAAACUUAAAACAGAUGAUGAAAAAUAUCAAAAAGGACAUGUGAUAGGUUUCAAUGUUCCCUUUUUUCAGUUUUUAGGCAUGAUGGGUGACUUUGUUGACGACCAGGACAAUUCUCCUGUGCAAAUGGAGGAUCUAGAUGCACAAACAACAACUUUUGAAUUAUCCAAGGGAGGGGAUGAUAUAUCGUUUGAUGACUGUCAAGGAGAUCCAUGGAGGCCAACCCUCUUUGAUGAU
rnacentral:lncRNA from 1 species